UACGUAGGGAGCAAGCGUUGUCCGGAAUCAUUGGGCGUAAAGCGCGCGUAGGUGGCCACAUAAGUCCGUUGUGAAAGUCAAAGGCUCAACCUUUGAAAGCCGAUGGAUACUGUGUGGCUAGAGUACGGAAGAGGCGAGUGGAAUUCCUGGUGUAGCGGUGGAAUGCGCAGAUAUCAGGAAGAACACCCGUGGCGAAGGCGGUUCUCUGGGACGGUACUGACGCUGAGACGCGAAAGCGUGGGGAGCGAACAGG
rnacentral:rRNA from 1 species